rnacentral:rRNA from 1 species
UGGGGAAUAUUGGACAAUGGGCGGAAGCCUGAUCCAGCCAUGCCGCGUGUGUGAAGAAGGCCUUUUGGUUGUAAAGCACUUUAAGCGAGGAGGAGGCUACCUAGAUUAAUACUCUGGGAUAGUGGACGUUACUCGCAGAAUAAGCACCGGCUAACUCUGUGCCAGCAGCCGCGGUAAUACAGAGGGUGCAAGCGUUAAUCGGAAUUACUGGGCGUAAAGCGCGCGUAGGCGGUUUGUUAAGUCGGAUGUGAAAUCCCUGGGCUCAACCUAGGCACUGCAUCCGAUACUGGCUGACUAGAGUAUGGGAGAGGAAGGUAGAAUUCCAGGUGUAGCGGUGAAAUGCGUAGAGAUCUGGAGGAAUACCGAUGGCGAAGGCAGCCUUCUGGCCUAAUACUGACGC